AUUGAACGCUGGCGGCAUGCCUUACACAUGCAAGUCGAACGGUAACGGGCCUUCGGGUGCCGACGAGUGGCGAACGGGUGAGUAAUGCAUCGGAACGUACCUUUCAGUGGGGGAUAACGUAGCGAAAGUUACGCUAAUACCGCAUAUUCUGUGAGCAGGAAAGCAGGGGAUCGCAAGACCUUGCGCUGGUUGAGCGGCCGAUGUCAGAUUAGCUAGUUGGUGAGGUAAAGGCUCACCAAGGCGACGAUCUGUAGCGGGACUGAGGGGAUGAGCGGCCACCGUGGGACUGGGACACGGCCCAGACUCCUACGGGAGGCAGCAGUGGGGAAUUGUGGNNNNGGGGGGCAACCCUGAUCCAGCCAUGCCGCGUGGGUGAAGAAGGCCUUCGGGUUGUAAAGCUCUUUCGGCCGGGAAGAAAUCGCACAGGCUAAUACCNUGUGUGGAUGACGGUACCGGAAUAAGAAGCACCGGCUAACUACGUGCCAGCCGCCGCGGUAACA
rnacentral:rRNA from 1 species